CCUACGGGGGACUGCAGUGAGGAAUAUUGGUCAAUGGGCGCUAGCCUGAACCAGCCAAGUAGCGUGAAGGAUGACUGCCCUAUGGGUUGUAAACUUCUUUUAUAUGGGAAUAAAGUGCAGUAUGUAUACUGCUUUGCAUGUACCUUAUGAAUAAGGAUCGGCUAACUCCGUGCCAGCAGCCGCGGUAAUACGGAGGAUCCGAGCGUUAUCCGGAUUUAUUGGGUUUAAAGGGAGCGUAGGCGGGUUGUUAAGUCAGUUGUGAAAGUUUGCGGCUCAACCGUAAAAUUGCAGUUGAUACUGGCAGCCUUGAGUACAGUAGAGGUAGGCGGAAUUCGUGGUGUAGCGGUGAAAUGCUUAGAUAUCACGAAGAACUCCGAUUGCGAAGGCAGCCUGCUGGACUGUAACUGACGCUGAUGCUCGAAAGUGUGGGUAUCAAACAGGAUUAGAUACCCCGGUAGUC
rnacentral:rRNA from 1 species